UGGAAGAUUGAUACUUUUUUA
rnacentral:piRNA from 1 species